rnacentral:rRNA from 1 species
UGUGUAGGCGGUUCCUUAAGUUUGCUGUGAAAUCUCCCGGCUUAACCGGGAGGGUGCGGUGAAUACUGAGGGACUAGAGUACGGGAGAGGAAAGUGGAAUUCCUGGUGCAGCGGUGAAAUGCGUAGAUAUCAGGAGGAACACCGGUGGUGUAGACGGCUUUCUGGACCGUAACUGACGCUGAGACACGAAAGCGUGGGUAGCAAACA